AUCGCUUCUAGGCCUUUUGGCUAAGAUCAAGUGUAGUAUCUGAUGUGCUCUCAGAAAUUCUAUAAUGUAGGAGUCCAUGAAGACUUUCUUUUUUUCCCAAUUAAGCUAUUAAUUACAGAGGCCCCUAAAAUGGGAGAUUUGUAGAGUCACU
rnacentral:snRNA from 1 species